CAAAAACAUCGCCUCUUGACAAGCCAUAAGAGGUCAAGCCUGCCCAGUGACAUUGUUCAACGGCCGCGGUAUCCUAACCGUGCGAAGGUAGCGUAAUCACUUGUUCUUUAAAUGAGGACUAGUAUGAAUGGCUUCACGAAAGCUAUGCUGUCUCCUUUAUCCCAUCAGUUAAACUAAUCUCCCCGUGAAGAAGCGGGGAUACACCUAUAAGACGAGAAGACCCUAUGGAGCUUUAAACACCUUCAAACACUUGAUUCUUUAUUUAUAAAUUCCAGUAAAACCUAAUUAAGCCCAUCAUUUUGUUUUAAGUUUUAGGUUGGGGUGACCACGGAGACAAAUUCAACCUCCACGUAGAAAAGAGACUUUCCUAAGCAAAAAGCUACAUCUUUAUGCAUCAACAUAUUGACUUAAAUUGACCCAAUUGCUUGAUCAACGAACCAAGUUACCCUAGGGAUAACAGCGCAAUCCGCUUUAAGAGCUCCUAUCGACAAGCGGGCUUACGACCUCGAUGUUGGAUCAGGGUAUCCUAGUGGUGCAGCAGCUACUAAUGGUUCG
rnacentral:rRNA from 1 species